rnacentral:rRNA from 1 species
AGAGUUUGAUCCUGGCUCAGGAUGAACGCUAGCGACAGGCCUAACACAUGCAAGCCGAGGGGUAACAUGAGUGCUUGCACUUGAUGACGACCGGCGCACGGGUGCGUAACGCGUAUGCAACUUACCUUGUACUGGGGAAUAGCCCGUGGAAACGCGGAUUAAUGUCCCAUAACACUACAAUCUCGCAUGGAAAAGUGGUUAAAGUUCCGACGGUACAAGAUGGGCAUGCGUGACAUUAGCUAGUUGGUGAGGUAAGGGCUCACCAAGGCGACGAUGUCUAGGGGUUCUGAGAGGAAGGUCCCCCACACUGGUACUGAGACACGGACCAGACUCCUACGGGAGGCAGCAGUGAGGAAUAUUGGUCAAUGGGCGCAAGCCUGAACCAGCCAUGUCGCGUGCAGGAAGACUGCCCUACGGGUUGUAAACUGCUUUUGUAUGGGAAGAAACGUUGGUACGUGUACCAAUUUGCCGGUACCAUACGAAUAAGGAUCGGCUAACUCCGUGCCAGCAGCCGCGGUAAUACGGAGGAUCCAAGCGUUAUCCGGAUUUAUUGGGUUUAAAGGGUGCGUAGGCGGUAGAAUAAGUCAGUGGUGAAAUCCUGCAGCUUAACUGUAGAACUGCCAUUGAUACUGUUUUACUUGAGUGUAAUUGAGGUAGGCGGAAUGUGUUGUGUAGCGGUGAAAUGCAUAGAUAUAACACAGAACACCGAUUGCGAAGGCAGCUUACUAAGUUAUAACUGACGCUGAUGCACGAAAGCGUGGGUAGCGAACAGGAUUAGAUACCCUGGUAGUCCACGCCGUAAACGAUGAUUACUCGCUGUAGGCAAUACACCGUCUGUGGCUGAGCGAAAGCAUUAAGUAAUCCACCUGGGGAGUACGUUGGCAACAAUGAAACUCAAAGGAAUUGACGGGGGCCCGCACAAGCGGAGGAACAUGUGGUUUAAUUCGAUGAUACGCGAGGAACCUUACCUGGACUUAAAUGUAGAUUGACGUAUCCAGAGAUGGAUAUUUCUUCGGACAAUUUACAAGGUGCUGCAUGGUUGUCGUCAGCUCGUGCCGUGAGGUGUCGGGUUAAGUCCCAUAACGAGCGCAGCCCCUGUUGUUAGUUACCAGCACAUCAUGGUGGGGACUCUAACAAGACUGCCGGUGUAAACCGCGAGGAAGGUGGGGAUGACGUCAAAUCAGCACGGCCCUUACGUCCAGGGCUACACACGUGUUACAAUGGCCGGUACAGAGGGCAGCUACUUGGUGACAAGAUGCGAAUCUCAAAAACCGGUCUCAGUUCGGAUCGAAGUCUGCAACCCGACUUCGUGAAGCUGGAUUCGCUAGUAAUCGCAUAUCAGCCAUGACGCGGUGAAUACG